CCCUAACUGAUGCGCCUUCAAAAAAGAGCGAGCAGCUUCAGCAGAGCAGUGGCCCUGCCAGCUCGAUCCCGAGGUAGUACGGCGUCAACUGAACACUUCUCUUCACAAGUUAGAGCCUUAUCACAGGGUGAUUUCAAAGGCCUCAAUGGGAAAUGUUAGACAGAAAAGCCCUGCUAAGCUGACAGGAUAUGAGUGGUCUCUUUAAAAAAAAAAAAAAAAAAAGCAACCAAAACCCACAAACUGAAAUGUCUCAGACAUCCGCUCUCCUUUGCAGGGAAAAUGACCUCUGACACCAAGUUCCGAAAUACAGAGAAAUUCUAAGUGACUAGGAAGCGGCAGCACCAACCCAGGAGGAGCUGGAGAGAGAGGAAAGCUUACGGGACAGCCAGACAGGGCUGUGCACGCCCGUCCUUUUCAGUGUCAGUCCUGAGUGAGACCCGGUGUACCAUACCUUGCUCUUCUAGGAUCCCGUUGGGCAUCUUCUUGUCGUUGCUGCUGACCACGGCUUUCCUCUGCUUCCUGAACCUUAGAGGCAAAAGAUGUGUUAGGUCUCGGCACAGCAGGAAGCCCCAAGCCCUGAGUGCGGUGAUACCCACCAGGAGAUGGUUAGGGCACGUCAGCGUCUGGGGACACUCCUACCUGAAGAAGUAGGCUGUGAGGAGGAGCAGGAGGAGGAGCAGAGGCAGCAACAGCCAGUACUUCCCACGGCAGAGUUCGAGUAACCUGGGAGGAUCUGGACAGGCAAAGCUGAGCCAAGUCCUGCCUAUGACCAGGGAAGCUCCCGGAAGCUGGAAGGGGAGUGCAAGGGCAGCCUGAGCUGCCCCUUGAAAGCUGCAGAGGUGGGGCCAUGCAACCAGGGCAUCAGUGGCAGUUCCCCAGAAAUGAAGCACACAAGCAGAACCUUCAGCAAAUGGGAUGACGCAGAGGCUUGGAGGAAGCUGUGCACGACCCACUGUUACGCAAUCUCUGUUUUAGCCCACAGAAGCUGCUUCCUAGGGAGAAGUGAAGAGCAAGGGUGGGAAGUUUGGGACUAAAGAAUUGAGAAGGCCGUGGAACAACGGGUUAGCCAGUGACUUGCACCCUCAGGCUCACUUUCUAGUAACAGCCCACGUUACUAGACUCACAUGAGGGUCCAGUACUGGACACUGGAACGCUACAUACCUGGAGAGUGAUAGGUUUAUAUGCAACCAAGUGUGAAGACCACCAUCUCCCUCUCAUCUUCCUGGGGGACCAUCUCCACACCAAGGGAACAUGAAUGAAGGCAUGGGAGGUGCCAUAAUAUCUUUCUCAGAACCACUGUCCCAUUCCCAGUGUCCUUCACUUUGGCACACACAUAACCCAGGGGUCUUAGUUAGGCAGGACAGUGAAGGUUCUGGGGGAAGGCUAAAUUUGAUCUGUGAAAAAUCCCCACAGCAGGAAGUCCUUAUCUUCAAAUAGGAGGACUUCAAACACUUGAGUGACAAUGGACAGGUGUUUCACUCUCAUCUGUACAGAUGAUGGACACCCAUGGGUGCCAGUCAGCUAAGGCUGGGCACCUUGCCCUCGUGGGCUGCAGUUUGACGUAGGAAGCCCAGAUCUGGGAAGGAAGGCACGAGCAUUGUAAAAUGAUGGCUAGUGACAUAAGCCACUCUUUUUGGAACACAACAGAGUUGCCAGGCUUGACUCUUUCUGCCUUUACCACACCUUGUACAGACACUAAACCGAAGUGCUGAGGGCUUGGUUGUCUGUGUGUGUGAUGCAUGUGAGCAUGGUGACUUGGGAAGCCAUCAUCUGAGGGUGUCAGAUCCCCUGGAACUGAAGUUACGAUCUCUUGUGAUCCCUUUCUCUCAUCUCCACGUGAGUUUUGGGAACCAAAAUUGGGUCCUCUGCAAAAGGAGCGUGUGCUCUUAACCAUGGGGACAUUCUCCAGUCCCAAGUAUCUGUUUCAUAUAUCCGUCUUCCAUAAAAUCAGGACAAGGUGACUCACUCAGCAAGAUAAUUGUUUUUUAAUGAUCCAGGAAAAGACAAAAAUUCAAGUAAAAUAAUAUCUUUCAAUUGCAAAAGAAACAAAACCCAGACCUUUCCUAACUUUUACGUGUGAAUAUACUUACAGGGAUGAAAGAUUUAAACAAUUAUUUUUUUUUAAAGCCAUUCAUUAAAAUCUGCAGACACAGCAUGUUUCAGGUGUAUCCAUGUGACCCAGCCUCUUUGAAGAUGGCUUUGCUUAUUAAAACAGAAAAGAUGUUCACAGGGAGUCCUCAGCUCAGUGGGUGAAGGGUGGAACUUAAUUGCUUUUGAGCAAAGGUAAUUGAAUGUCUAAAUGCAAACAUGGAAACAUCUUUAAAAAUAGGUUGCCAAGGGGCCCUCAGGUAGAGAAAAGAAAAGCAAAAGCAAAAGCAGAAAAAAAAAACAGGCAGGGAAGAAGGAGAGAGUCUUGGUGAGUGGUGGUGGGUGUCCCUGCCCCGGCUGUAGGUCACCUGGCUGUCUGAAUAGGUAAGAGCUGACCUGCUGGAGGCAGGUAUCAUCCUGGGCAUGUAAAGAUGCACAGCAUGUUGACAAUCAGGUACUGAUCACUAGGAAGGAGGGGAGAAGAGAGGGGAAAAAAUGGAGAGAGGGAGGGGACGGGGCAAAUUGGGGAGAGAUAGACAGAUAGAGAUAGAUAGAAAAAGGAGGACAGGGAAGGAGGGAGGAAGAGAGAUGGAUGCAGAUGAGUGCCACCCGACUCAGUUUAUCAGGAAGGUCCUGUGAGCCCAUGAGCCUGUCAGCAGGUCUGUUAGGGACCAAUUUCAACUCCCUAUGUGGUGCAUGCUAAUUUGCAUAAUUCCAAUUAUUCCCUGAGCCCUCUUGAAGAUGGGGUAAGAAGUGAAGAGUCUCUUCUGUCAGAAUUCAGUCUCUUUCAUCAAGACAACAAGAUCAGGUUGUGGAAACCACAGGAUCCCACUCAGUAGCACAUUUUCACAAACCGUAAAACCAUGUUUGGAUUCAUUGAAUCAGCAAGCAGCAAGUAUCUGGUCAAGUCCAGUUAGGCACUGGUUGAGAGAACAGGGAGCGAACAGCAUUUUCUCCAUGGGGCCAAAUGGGGCACAUAUAGCCAGACUCUCAGGGAUAUGUUUUGGUUUUCCCCAUAGGGAAUCAAAACAAAAAAUAAAACCAAACUUCCCAUCCUGAGAAAACAGGAAGACCCUAAAAAUCUGCAAGUGGUGGUUGCAUGAAGAGUGUAUAAAACUCAUGGAAGCCACACAGAACCGUGAGUGAGGGGUCACCUAAGAUCGGUGAAUGAGGGUCACAAAAAAAUUAAUAACGAACAGGGGCUACAUAGGACCAGUGACUGGAAGUCACAGUCAACUCCUCUUUCAUGAAAAGUUACAUGGAAACAGAGGCAGAUAAUUUGUUGGAAUUACUUUUUGAUCUUACUUAACCCAAAUUUUCACUAGUGAAUGGAUAUUAGUGAUGGGGGAAUUUCUUUCUGUGCUGAGAAUAUGUGUUGCUCUGAUUGGUUUUGAUAAAUAAAGCCAUUUGGCCUAUGGCAAGGCAGUUUAGAGGCAGGUGGGAAAUUCAAAGAGAGAGACGGGAAGAAGGCCCGGAGAGACACCAGCGAGCCGCCCAAGGAGCAACAUGUAAUGAAUGGGACACAGGUAGCCACAGAACAUGUGGCGAUAUACAU